GGCAGCGGCGGCUGUCCAGGGAGGGCGAGAGGUCCGUCGCUGUGGCGGGGCUGGUACGGCGGCUGCAUGUUGAACGAUGGCGGCGCGUCACUCUGGCGAGGCUGGUACGGGUGCUGCAUGUUGUACGACGGCGGACGAGGCUGGUACGAUGGCUCAUUGACGCGAGGCUGGUACGGCGAUGGCUCGUUGAUCCGGGGCAGGUACGGCGAUGUCUCGUUGAUGCGAGGCUGGUAUGGCAGCGGCGGUGGUGGUGGGAGUGGCUGUGAAUCGGGUGCGCGUGGCGGCUGCAGCUGCUGGUGCUGUGGGCGCAUGAGUGGCUGCGGGUUGGGCUGCGCAGGGCGGGCCGGCG
rnacentral:lncRNA from 1 species